rnacentral:rRNA from 1 species
AGAGCGAACGCUGGCGGCAGGCUUAACACAUGCAAGUCGAGCGGGCGUAGCAAUACGUCAGCGGCAGACGGGUGAGUAACGCGUGGGAACGUACCUUUUGGUUCGGAACAACCCAGGGAAACUUGGGCUAAUACCGGAUAAGCCCUUACGGGGAAAGAUUUAUCGCCGAAAGAUCGGCCCGCGUCUGAUUAGCUAGUUGGUGAGGUAAUGGCUCACCAAGGCGACGAUCAGUAGCUGGUCUGAGAGGAUGAUCAGCCACAUUGGGACUGAGACACGGCCCAAACUCCUACGGGAGGCAGCAGUGGGGAAUAUUGGACAAUGGGCGCAAGCCUGAUCCAGCCAUGCCGCGUGAGUGAUGAAGGCCCUAGGGUUGUAAAGCUCUUUUGUGCGGGAAGAUAAUGACGGUACCGCAAGAAUAAGCCCCGGACUAACUUCGCGCCAGCAGCCGC